CGAUUAAGAGAGUUUUAGAUCUGCAGAUUUGAGGCUUGGUUCUAAUUGCAGGCCACGGGGAUUGGAAUUUCCUAUGAUCCCUCCUCAUAUUGCGACCGGAAAAGCCUGGUGCAAGACGUUGCUGAUUCGUGUAGAACCAGAGCUGCAACGAACAACUGGAAUGAGUGACCAAAGCUAUUAUUACUGGUGUCGAAAUGACUGGAAUGAGUGAUAGAGUUUGUGUUGACCUUUGCAGCCUCAUGAAACCUGGUUGGAUCUUUUGCUAGAGGAUUAUUUCUUGUUCAGUCACAGUCAAGCUACAUUGCCACCAGGCCUUUCGCAGUUAACACUGUGAGUUUUUGUUGAGAUCUAUUAAUUUACAUCAUUUUUUAUCAAUAGUGACUAAUAUCUUACCAACAUUUACACAGUCCCGUCCAUGCCUAUAUGGCGAUUUCAGGAGGUAAAACUUGCUAUUUAUCAGCAGGGGCGGCUGCACCCACAUAAUGUGGGUCGGGGUCCCAGGACCCCAAUCAUUUCAUUAAAUAUGUAUUUUAUAAAGUGGCCCAAUACUUUGGCGAGUCGAGCUCGAGCCGAGCUUUGGCUCGUUCAAGCGAUAAUGAAGCAUGCUCGAGCCGAGCUUUUAGCUCGUUUGAGGUUGUUCUCAAAAUAGCCCGAGCUGAGUCGAGCCGAGCUCGAGCUUUGGGCUUUACUUGCGAGCCGAGCUCGAGCUCAAAUAAGUGUGCUCGAACUGAACCGAGCUCAAGCUCGAGCUUCAUAAAAACAUGACGAGCCUGUAACGUUACUUGUAUCAAAUUGUGUAUAUUUCAUUUAAUCAUAGUUAUUAAAGGCGCUAGGCGCACUCAAGGCACAUAGGCCUCGCCUGGGGCCUAGGCACAAAGCGCAAAAACGCGAGCACCUAAGAAUGCUCAAGAGAUGAUACUGCCGCAGAAUACGUGAAUUUGCUUAUGGAUUGGAACAUUGCAGUUAAAGUCUUUGUCCCUUUUUUUCUCUUAAUAGAAAUCGGCUUAAUAAAUAGCUGCUGCUCCUCGCCACCAUGAUAAAACAAAACACUUUGAUAUUUAUUGCCACCUUAACAGUGACAAGGUCCAAGAAGUUCUUUUUACAAAAUGCCUUAUGUUCCUAUUCACUUUAGUUGUUCAGUUGGAUGAUGUCAUUGUUGGAGUAAUCCGAACCGCUCCGAUCCGAACCAAAACAACCCUUUUUGUAAUUGACCCGUUUUGACCCGAACCAAAACAGCCCUUUUUGUAAUUGACCCAUUUUCACCCAUGACCUGACCCGAACCGAACGGACCCGUUUGCCAGGUCUAUCUAGGCCUGUCAAUGGAUGGAUAUGGAUAGGAUCAUGAUCCGAUCCAUUAAUGAUCCAACUUAAUGGAUCAUGAUCCGAUCCAUGAUCCAACAUAAUGGAUCGUGAUCCGAUCCAUAUCCAAAUAAUU